rnacentral:rRNA from 1 species
CCUACGGGUGGCAGCAGUGAGGAAUAUUGGUCAAUGGACGAGAGUCUGAACCAGCCAAGUAGCGUGAAGGAUGACUGCCCUAUGGGUUGUAAACUUCUUUUAUAAAGGAAUAAAACGAGGCACGUGUGCCUUUUUGUAUGUACUUUAUGAAUAAGGAUCGGCUAACUCCGUGCCAGCAGCCGCGGUAAUACGGAGGAUCCGAGCGAUAUCCGGAUUUAUUGGGUUUAAAGGGAGCGUAGAUGGGUUGUUAAGUCAGUUGUGAAAGUUUGCGGCUCAACCGUAAAAUUGCAAUUGAUACUGGCAGUCUUGAGUACAGUUGAGGUAAGCGGAAUUCGUGGUGUAGCGGUGAAAUGCUUAGAUAUCACGAAGAACCCCGAUUGCGAAGGCAGCUUACUAAACUGUGACUGACAUUGAUGCUCGAAAGUGUGGGUAUCAAACAGGAUUAGAUACCCCUGUAGUC